UGGCACCUGUCGAGCGAUGUCGGAAGGGAGGGAUAUAGGCCCUGAAACCAUGGCAUACAAAAUUCCAAACAGGCCGCGCCACACUUUUAAAUCUGGAGAAUUUUUGUGAAAUUCGAUUUGCGAGGAGCGUAUGAUUGGAUGGUGAUCUAAUUCAUAAGACAGUUGACCUUUUGUUUCAGAGAGGAAAGCAGUCACCUACCGUCCGUACAAAACAAGGUCUUAUCCCAGAUUUAGUUCAAAUCUGAGAUAUGCACGAUUAUGGUCAAUCAGAACUACAAGAUACCUUCUGCAAUUCAGCUCUUGGUGGGUACAAUUCCAUUCCAUCCCGGGCGUUGACAAACUAGCAGUUUCCACGACGCCACAACUACCCGGCGUUGCGUCUGUUCUUGGCUGCAGGCCUGCAGCAGCCAGGCCCGCGCGAUGGCCAUGGCGACCGCGCUACGGUCCUCGCCGCUCGUCCCGCAGCAUCGACCACGCUUCCCUGUCUCGGCGGUGGCGCCAUGGCUCGUCAUGCUCCUGGCCCUGGCAGCCUUGUCCUGCUCAUCGCCGGUGGCGGUGGCGGCGGGCUCUCCGGAGGUCGUCGAGCUGACCCUCCUCGCAAACGCUCAGGAGAAGGGCGCGGUUUGCUUGGACGGUAGCCCGCCGGCUUACCACCUCCAGAGAGGCUUCGGCUCCGGAAAACACAGCUGGAUCGUCAAUCUUGAGGGAGGUGCAUGGUGCAACACCACGGAAGAUUGUUCUGACCGCAGAAUGACCGACCUUGGUUCAUCCAAAUUCAUGAAAGCAAUAGAGUUUGAGGGGAUACUCAGCAACAAGCGCUCACAAAAUCCCUAUUUCUACAACUGGAAUAAAGUUGACGUAAGGUACUGUGACGGAGGAUCAUUUGCUGGAGAUGCUGAGGGCAAAGAUCGGAAUGGAACAAAACUUUUCUUCAGAGGAUUGCGUAUCUGGGAAGCCGUCGUUGACGAACUCAUGGGGAAAGGACUGGCCACUGCUAAACAGGCCUUACUUUCAGGUUGUUCUGCUGGUGGCCUUGCUGCCCUACUGCACUGCGAUGAUUUCCGUGCACGAUUCCCUCAGGAGGUUCCAGUAAAAUGCCUUUCGGAUUCUGGAUUCUUUCUUGAUGUAAAGGAUUUAUCAGGGGAAAGGUUCAUGCGGUCGAUCUUCAGUGGAGUUGUUCACCUUCAGAAUGUUAGAGAAGUUUUGCCCAAGGACUGCAUUGCAGAGAAGGAGCCAAUAGAGUGUUUCUUUCCUGCUGAGCUUAUUAAGAGUAUAAGCACCCCCACAUUUAUCCGGAACUCUGGUUACGAUUCAUAUCAGGUAGGAAAUGUAGUGGCGCCAGGCGGAUCUGAUCCUGGACAGUCAUGGUCGCGUUGCAAAGCUGAUAUUCGAAACUGUACUUCCACACAAAUCGAGGCAAUGAAUGAAUUCAGGAAGGAAUUUGUCGAGGCUUUGAAGGUUGCUCAAUGCAAGAGCAACUGGGGGCUGUUCAUCGACUCCUGCUUCAACCACUGUCAGACGCCAUUCAGAAUCACAUGGCAUUCGCAGAUCUCCCUGAGGCUUGGUAAUAAGACGAUCGCCGAAGCUGUUGCGGACUGGUAUGUUGGUGGAGGCCAUGGAGUAAAAGAGAUUGACUGCGAGUAUCCAUGCAUUAACCCCACUUGUAGCAGUCAGCUCGACCUGUAACGGGAGGAGUUUUACAUGAACAUUUCUUUUACAUGAACAUUUCUUCAAAAUUAAUAAAACUUCCUUUAUCGGAAAAAGAGACAGGUUUACAUGAACAUUUCUUUUCUUUUUUAGAAACAAAACACGAACAUUUUAGAUUUCACAGUUGCCACUUGUGAUCUCCAUUGCGGGCUCCAUCGAAUGCUAAGGCGUAACACACAUUACAAAAUGUUUUCCUUCCCAUGUUCUGUGCGAAUCUCGGUGCGAUUCCAAUGGUACAUUGCGUAGUGACAACCUGACAGGUGCCAUUGGUUAAAAACUGCCUUUUUUUCCGGUUGAUUGUUGGAGUCUUGUACAGGAUGGGAGCCGCUUGGCCUUGUGAUACAUGCGUGCCAACGACUGGUGAGGAUAGUGACAUGAAUCAAUCUGGUUUUAAGUGGCAAGAAAGAUCACACGCAACAGGUCUGAAAGCGGAGCGCACUUAGCCGUAAUUAGUCACUCUCGACAGGUACGUUUAUGUAGCAUUGUAGCUCCAUCAGACAAAUAUUUGUUUUUCGAAAUACAAAUAUUAAGCGACUAUAUCCAGAACGUCACUUACUACUCUUUUUCUUAAGAGGAAUCGAGUUGCAGGUAGCAGCUGACUUAUAGCUGCCAGGACUAACAGCAUGCUGACGUGGACGUGGAUUUGAUUUUGAGGUGAGCUGUUGCAGAGAAAGACGCCACCACGUUCUUCUCCACGAAUCUCCAUCCGCUUGAGGUCCAAGCAGAUGGCUUGGUGGGCGCUGUCCGCAUCGGCUACGGCGACCUGUGGUAUGGCCCGCCAGAGCGCCAGCGCAAGGCCGGAGACAGGUUGUUGGUGAGCAGCUAAUUUCAAUUUCAACCAUGUUCUCCACUCUCCAACCGCACAAAAAGGCCAUGGCGACCGAGCUGCUGUCCCCCCUCCUCCCGCAGCGUCGACGGGGCCUGGCUGUCGCCGCGGCGGCGCCCCUGCUCCUGCUCCUCCUGGUCGUUGUCGUCUUCUCCCGCUCACGGCUGACGGUGAGCUCCCCGGAGCGCGUCGACCUGACCCUCGUCGCCGGGGCUCGGGAGAAGGGCGCGGUGUGCUUGGAUGGGAGCCCGCCUGGUUACCACCUGCGGAGAGGCUUCGGCUCCGGAGCUCACAACUGGCUCAUCUACCUUCAGGGAGGAGCUUGGUGCAACACCACACAAAGUUGCUCCGAG